GAAAAACUUGGAAGGAUCUUUUGGCUCAUUUUUCUCCACUAGGGAGUCCUUUUUAAUUCAAAGCCCCGUAAUAAAUAACCCACAAACUAGACAAGGGGAGGAUAAAAAUCAUAACAAGCACAAAGAGAGGAAAAAAGUUGAGCAUUCAGAAUGAGUAGGAGGUUGGUAUUCCUUUCAUCAAAGAUCGGAUGAAUUAUUUAAUCAUCAUUAUGCUCCUUCCUUCACACCAUAAAACAAACAAAUUUAAAGGAAAAAAACAGCAAAAUUUUAUCUAACAAAAAAAAAAAAAAAAAACUUUUUUCUACACAAAAAACCAUCAGAAGGUUCGGACGUUUCAUCAGUUAGGCACACAAAAAAGUACCUCAGAUGACCAUCGUGAGAAUAUUAAUCCAAAAAUCAUCACACGGUUUCACAAAUUCCCCACAACAAAUUAAGAAAAAAGAAAAAUAACACAAACAAAUUAAACGGAUGGAACGUUCUAUAAUGAAAAUGUUCCCCUCGAAGAUGUUCCAGCAGGUUUAUCAAAUAAUCCCACCAAAAUUCAACAGAGGAAAAAAUAUUGCUAUAGGGUACUGCAUUCAUCCCCAAGGCAUGGCUAAUUAAGCUACCAAAGAGUCAAACUCCAGACCCCCCUUUAUAAAAUCAAAAUAUACAAACAAUUUUUCUAAUAAGUUUAAGUAUGAACAAUUAAGAAGCACUAGGAAAAGGACUAAUUAUUAUAUUAUUAUGAAAUCAAUGAUCUUUCGAUCUCAUCAUAAAUAUUUCUCCUCAUCGGGCUAAAAAAUACAUUCAAAUUCGCACAAACAAGUUAUAAAUUAUUUUUAAAAAAGAGAGCUAAAUCAAUGUAAGAAUGUAUAACAACAACAACAACAGCAGACCCACAAAGUGGGGAAUGUAUAAAAAAGAGAUUUUAUUAUUUAUUAUGAACAAUUAUGACGCACUCAGAAUGAAAAGGACUAAUUGCUAAAUUAUUAUGACAUCAAUGACCUUUCGAUCUCAUUGAUAUUUAUCCUCAUAGUGCUAAAAGAAAUAUAUUCAAAUACGCAAAUUAAACUCACAAAAUCCACCACUAAUCGUAUUUAUUUGGCUAUAAUUAGCAACGGAUUUCUGUUAGCUACAAGCAAAUUAACUACAAAUGAGAUAAAAAAUAUUUUAAAACAUAGUGAAAAGCACUAGUAAAAAGAUAAAUAUAACAACGAAUAAAUUUUGCAGCUAAACAACAAAACUCGUCGCUAAUCCUAAUCAGCUAAGAGCAAAUUAGCAAUGAAUUAGCGACGAAAUUCAUAGAUAAAUAUUUUAUAGUGAAGGAAGAGGCAAGCAUUCAGAAUGAGUAGGAGGUUGGUAUUCCUUUCAUAUGAAUAAUCGGAAUAAUUUUUUAAUCAUCAUUAUGCUUGCUCUGUAAAAUCACAAAUUUGAAAUUAAAAACAAGUAGCAAAAAAAAUAAUUUGAACAGUAAUAUAAUAUUUCUAUAACAGAAACCAUCAGAGAAUUUGGAUAUUACAUCAGUUAGGCACAUAAAUGUACCUCAGACGACCGUCGUG
rnacentral:lncRNA from 1 species